CCUACGGGAGACAGCAGUGAGGAAUAUUGGUCAAUGGACGAGAGUCUGAACCAGCCAAGUAGCGUGAAGGAUGACUGCCCUAUGGGUUGUAAACUUCUUUUAUAUGGGAAUAAAACGUUCCACGUGUGGGAUUUUGUAUGUACCAUAUGAAUAAGGAUCGGCUAACUCCGUGCCAGCAGCCGCGGUAAUACGGAGUAUCCGAGCGUUAUCCGUAUUUAUUGGGUUUAAAGGGAGCGUAGGUGGAUUGUUAAGUCAGUUGUGAAAGUUUGCGGCUCAACCGUAAAAUUGCAGUUGAAACUGGCAGUCUUGAGUACAGUAGAGGUAGGCGGAAUUCGUGGUGUAGCGGUGAAAUGCUUAGAUAUCACGAAGAACUCCGAUUGCGAAGGCAGUUCACUGGACUGCAACUGACACUGAGGCUCGAAAGUGUGGGUAUCAAACAGGAUUAGAUAUCCGAGUAGUC
rnacentral:rRNA from 1 species